rnacentral:rRNA from 1 species
CCCAUUCCGAACACGGCAGUUAAGCUCUUCAGCGCCGAUGGUAGUUGGGGGUUUCCCCCUGUGAGAGUAGGACGCCGCCAAGC